UACAGAGGUCCCAAGCGUUGUUCGGAUUCACUGGGCGUAAAGGGUGCGUAGGUGGUGAGGUAAGUCGGAUGUGAAAGCUCCGAGCUCAACGUCGGAAAUGGCAUUGGAAACUACCCUUGCUCGAGGGUUUGAGGGGGGACUGGAAUACUUGGUGUAGCAGUGAAAUGCGUAGAUAUGCGGAGGAACACCGAUGGCGAAGGCAAUCCCCUGGGCCUGCACUGACGCUCAUGCACGAAGCGUGGGGAGCAAACAGGA
rnacentral:rRNA from 1 species